rnacentral:rRNA from 1 species
GGCAAGACGGAAAGACCCCGUGAACCUUUACUAUAGCUUGACACUGAACAUUGAGCCUUGAUGUGUAGGAUAGGUGGGAGGCUUUGAAGUGUGGACGCCAGUCUGCAUGGAGCCGACCUUGAAAUACCACCCUUUAAUGUUUGAUGUUCUAACGUGGACCCGUGAUCCGGGUUGCGGACAGUGUCUGGUGGGUAGUUUGACUGGGGCGGUCUCCUCCUAAAGAGUAACGGAGGAGCACGAAGGUUGGCUAAUCCUGGUCGGACAUCAGGAGGUUAGUGCAAUGGCAUAAGCCAGCUUGACUGCGAGCGUGACGGCGCGAGCAGGUGCGAAAGCAGGUCAUAGUGAUCCGGUGGUUCUGAAUGGAAGGGCCAUCGCUCAACGGAUAAAAGGUACUCCGGGGAUAACAGGCUGAUACCGCCCAAGAGUUCAUAUCGACGGCGGUGUUUGGCACCUCGAUGUCGGCUCAUCACAUCCUGGGGCUGAAGUAGGUCCCAAGGGUAUGGCUGUUCGCCAUUUAAAGUGGUACGCGAGCUGGGUUUAGAACGUCGUGAGACAGUUCGGUCCCUAUCUGCCGUGGGCGCUGGAGAACUGAGGGGGGCUGCUCCUAGUACGAGAGGACCGGAGUGGACGCAUCACUGGUGUUCGGGUUGUCAUGCCAAUGGCACUGCCCGGUAGCUAAAUGCGGAAGAGAUAAGUGCUGAAAGCAUCUAAGCACGAAACUUGCCCCGAGAUGAGUUCUCCCUGAGACUUAGAGUCUCCUGAAGGAACGUUGAAGACGACGACGUUGAUAGGCCGGGUGUGUAAGCGCAGCGAUGCGUUGAGCUAACCGGUACUAAUGAACCGUGAGGCUUAACCUU